rnacentral:tRNA from 1 species
GGAGGGAUGGCCGAGUGGUUGAAGGCGGCGGUCUUGAAAACCGUUAGGCGCGAGAGCGUCUCCUGGGUUCGAAUCCCAGUCCCUCCGCCA